UACUUAUCUGCUAUGGGAUUCUAAAGCAGGGUUCCUUGAAUGGGAAUGACUUAUAGAAAAAACAAAAACAAAAACAAAAACAAAGCCAGUAUUCUUGUCUCAAACCAGACGUUUUAUUCAGCCAGUCAUUUUUGUAAUGUCCUCUUCACCUGAAUUAUCCUAAUGGCAUACUUUUUCUGUUUUAUUUAUGGAUCAUUUUCAUCAGAGAACUUCCUCCCGAGAGACUUUUCCAUCUUUCAUGGAGCAGCAGGAAGUUGGAGAGUUUGGGGCUCCUGCUGAGCUCAGAGCCUUCUGGAAGCAGCUGAACAGUGUGCCUCACAGCCUUGCUCUGUGUUUUGUCCCUGUGUCCGUGGCUCUAAGUUUCACCUAUUCCAGUGCGUGUCUAAACCACAGAUUCUUGGAUCUGAAAUUGGAAAGCUCACACCCCGGACCUCUGUGGCCAGGGGAUGUGUAGCUUCAUUUAAAGGAAGUGAAAUGGCCUUGAACAAUGGAGUGUCCACUUUCAGCUCUGAUGCCAAGCAGGAAGCAGCCCUUCCUGCCAAAGAGGCUUAAAACUUCCAACUCCCUGUUCAUAUCUGCCUUCAGUUUGGCCCUUAUGCUCCUGUUUUGUAUUCAUUUCAUGGAUGUUACAUUUUCCUGCAUCUUUCUGAAAACUCCAAGCAGGCAAUAAAAGUCACAGAUAACUCAGAAAACUAAAAAAGGUGGCAAGAAUGAGCUGUCAGGAAGAAGGGGAAGAGGAAGCAGAAACAGAGGAGACCACUCAGAAUACAAAUUUGGAGAAAAGCCUACAUCAAUGGCCACAACUCAAUUGAUUUAUGGGAAGGUGGAAUAUACUAAAGAAAAAAGGAAACCACUUAACCAGCAAACAAUCCAAGAGGGAAAACAAGCAAACUGUGGAAGCUAUUUGAUUAAUAAAUACAUAUCUGUA